rnacentral:rRNA from 1 species
AGAGUUUGAUCAUGGCUCAGAACGAACGCUGGCGGCAGGCUUAACACAUGCAAGUCGAACGGUUGUAGCAAUACAGCAGUGGCAGACGGGUGAGUAACACGUGGGAACCUUCCUAGGGGUACGGAGCAACUCAGGGAAACUUGAGCUAAUACCGUAUACGUCCGUAAGGAGAAAGAUUUAUCGCCCCUAGACGGGCCCGCGUAGGAUUAGGUAGUUGGUGAGGUAACGGCUCACCAAGCCUACGAUCCUUAGCUGAUCUGAGAGGAUGAUCAGCCACACUGGGACUGAGACACGGCCCAGACUCCUACGGGAGGCAGCAGUGGGGAAUCUUGGACAAUGGGCGCAAGCCUGAUCCAGCCAUGCCGCGUGAGUGAAGAAGGCCUUCGGGUUGUAAAGCUCUUUUACCAGGGACGAUAAUGACGGUA